UCAACCAUCAAGCCCUGCUUGGUAUUGGGUGUCGUCCCCUGGACGUGCCUUAAACGCUUCGGCGGCGGUUUCAAACCUCAAGCGUAGUAGAAUCUUUUAUUUAGCUUUCUAGGUUUGUGGCCGCUUCGCCUCGAGAAACCAAAUAACCUCAA
rnacentral:misc_RNA from 1 species